GAUGAACGCUGGCGGCGUGCUUAACACAUGCAAGUCGAACGGAAAGGCUCCUGCUUGCAGGGGUACUCGAGUGGCGAACGGGUGAGUAACACGUGGGUGAUCUGCCCUGCACUUCGGGAUAAGCCUGGGAAACUGGGUCUAAUACCGGAUAGGACGAUGGUUUGGAUGCCAUUGUGGAAAGUUUUUCGGUGUGGGAUGAGCUCGCGGCCUAUCAGCUUGUUGGUGGGGUAAUGGCCCACCAAGGCGUCGACGGGUAGCCGGCCUGAGAGGGUGUACGGCCACAUUGGGACUGAGAUACGGCCCAGACUCCUACGGGAGGCAGCAGUGGGGAAUAUUGCACAAUGGGCGCAAGCCGGAUGCAGCGACGCCGCGUGGGGGAUGACGGCCUUCGGGUUGUAAACUCCUUUCGCUAGGGACGAAGCGCAAGUGACGGUACCUGGAGAAGAAGCACCGGCUAACUACGU
rnacentral:rRNA from 1 species